UACGUAGGGAGCGAGCGUUGUCCGGAAUUACUGGGUGUAAAGGGAGCGUAGGCGGGAUCGCAAGUCAGAUGUGAAAACUAUGGGCUUAACCCAUAAACUGCAUUUGAAACUGUGGUUCUUGAGUGAAGUAGAGGUAAGCGGAAUUCCUAGUGUAGCGGUGAAAUGCGUAGAUAUUAGGAGGAACAUCAGUGGCGAAGGCGGCUUACUGGGCUUUAACUGACGCUGAGGCUCGAAAGCGUGGGGAGCAAACAGG
rnacentral:rRNA from 4 species